GCUGGUGAAACAUACAGAGAUGUUAGAGUUGCUGUGCAUCUGUAGUCAUAUGCAUCACAUUUGCAAUACAAACAAGCAAAUCCAUUUAAAAUUAUAUUGCUAUAAUGGCACAUCCCAGAAUAAAAUGACUUAGUUAUUUAGACCCGUCGUACUUUUUUAUCCGUUUGUAGUUACAUUUAAUGUUGAGGAAUGUCAAAAUAGGUUCGCUCCUGUUAUCAUUUAGUGGCUAUAAACGGUCGUGCCCUUAAAUCUUCUUGAAGACGAAACCAAAUUGCAGCGUGUUAAUGAGAAAUCACGAAACACAAAGCCGUCUGUCCCAAAGAAUUGCUUAUGCAGGACAUCUUAACGUUUAAGCUCUGAUUAGUACCAAGUGCUGACACUGGAGACUCCUUCCAAAAAUGCUAAAUAAACGUCUUCAUACAGAAAACAUGAGCGUGUAUUGAAAAUGUGUUAGAAAGAGCGCGCUGUGAUUUAGCUUACAGACGGAUCAACCUGUCUAGGCUGGGUUGUUAGAGAAACUUCUGACCAAUCAGAAUUGAGGCGCUGUGGUAAAAGGGUGUUGCUUUCUCAAAAUCACAGUCACUUACUUCUGAGUAAGAUUGAAGCAUUCUGUGCAGCCUCCAGUCCCGCUGACUCUUCAGUCCGAGGUCCGAUGUGUUGUAUGCUGUGAGAACCUUCCCUGCUUUGCAGAGCGUCUCACACUAGAAUACACAUAUAAAAGGGCUCAUAUCUUCAGGUUUUCUCAUAUUAAUAUAUCAUUUGAAUGUUAUGUUAAUCAAUUGUAUGCUUGCAUGUUGGUGUUUUACUUACACUGCAUUCUUCAUUCAUAAAAACAUGUUGGACUUGUUUCUGAAGUGUCUGAUUAAAAAAAAAAAAAAAAAAAGGUUAUAUUGUUAGAUUGAGUUUUUAAUCACUGCUGGUCUACAAUUCUAUUAAUCAUACGGGUGAUGUGAAUCUUACCUUCGCUGUUAGGUUCAUUUUCAAGUUUUUCACAUGAUGCAUGAUAUCUUUUAAAAGAUGUUGGCCUUCUUUCUUGCCUUCUUGAGAUUUCCGGUGGCAUUCAUGGUUGGUGAAGUUGACCGCCUUUCCACUUUUCUGCUGAUGUUUGUCUGAUGUAGAUGCCGUAUGAGGUGCUGCAGUAACCACUGCGGUGCUCAGGAAGAAAAAUAUGAAGACGUUCAUGUCGUCGUGCGUGGUUCCAGUCUAUUUGCCUGGUUUUGAGUUUUCAAGUUCAGUUUACUCGGUGCUGUCACUGUCUUUUAUACCAUACCGCCUCUCUUCUCUUAUAGAGGUCAAGAUUUUGUGAAGUGUGCUUUAUCCUGGUCAGGUGCAGUGGAUCUGGAGCCUCUCCUAGGAACACUGGAGACGAGGUGGUAAUACACCCUGGAAGUGAUGCCACUCUGUCGUUCACUAGAUGUAUGCAUCGGGACUGGGAUCUCACAGGAUUCACCAGGAGGGAAACUUAAAUAUGUUAUGUAGCUUCUGAAGGGCGGUACUAAAUGAAAUAAAUUAAGAUCUUUAAACAAAAUAAUAAUAAUUCACACCAAUUAUCCUGUUCAAUUUUUUUUGUUGAGCUUUUGAACGUUUGCACCUUUUGUAACAGUUGUGUCCCUCAGUUGUCCUCAGUGUGAAAAGAUGGAUCUGAUCAUCAUAUAG
ensembl:lncRNA